rnacentral:tRNA from 1 species
GGAAGCGUCGCAUAGCGGUCAAUUGCACCGGUCUUGAAAACCGGAGGUUCACGCCUUCGUGGGUUCGAAUCCCACCGCUUCCGCCA